CAACAAAUCACAGUCUCCCAU
rnacentral:miRNA from 1 species